rnacentral:misc_RNA from 1 species
GAUGAAGAACGUAGCGAAAUGCGAUAAGUAGUGUGAAUUGCAGAAGUACCGUGAAUCAUCGAAUCUUUGAACGCAAAUUGCACUCUCUGGUAUUCCGGGGAGUAUGCCUGUUUGAGGGUCGCUUAACAAACCAUCGAUUUCGUUGCUUUUUUUUUUUAAAAAGUGAUGUUUAUCGGAUUUGAGCCGUCUUUUUUUUUUUAUUUUUAAGUGGCUUAAAAUUGAUUUUUUUGGUACGAUCGAAGCGUAUUUUUAUGAUCAAUUUUUGGUUAAAGAAACGCACACGUACCGUUAUUUAUAUGAUGUAAUACGUUUGACUAUUGGAUUUAGUUCAUUCGUAUACGAUAUCUUUCAAUAUUUGACCUCAAAUCAGGUAAGAACACCCGCUGAACUUAAGCAUAUCAAUAAGCGGAGGA